rnacentral:rRNA from 1 species
UACGAAGGGGGCUAGCGUUGCUCGGAAUUACUGGGCGUAAAGCGCACGUAGGCGGCUUUCUAAGUCGGGGGUGAAAUCCUGGAGCUCAACUCCAGAACUGCCUUCGAUACUGGAAAGCUCGAGUCCGGGAGAGGUGAGUGGAACUGCGAGUGUAGAGGUGAAAUUCGUAGAUAUUCGCAAGAACACCAGUGGCGAAGGCGGCUCACUGGCCCGGUACUGACGCUGAGGCACGAAAGCGUGGGGAGCAAGCAGG